GGCAACAAAUGGCAAAUCAUGUCAUUGUUUUAAAAGGCAAUUGAUUGUUUUGUAUAGUAUAUGUUAGAUACUCAUAAUCGCUUGGUCACUGGUUCAAGUCCAGUAGGGGCCACCA
rnacentral:tRNA from 1 species